rnacentral:rRNA from 1 species
GACGAACGCUGGCGGCGUGCUUAACACAUGCAAGUCGAACGGACAGGCCCUGCUUGCAGGGUACUCGAGUGGCGAACGGGUGAGUAACACGUGGGUGAUCUGCCCUGCACUUCGGGAUAAGCCUGGGAAACUGGGUCUAAUACCGGAUAGGAGCCAUUUUUAGUGUGAUGGUUGGAAAGUUUUUUCGGUGUUGGAUGAGCUGGCGGCCUAUCGGCUUGUUGGUGGGGUAAUGGCCUACCAAGGCGGCGACGGGUAGCCGGCCUGAGAGGGUGGACGGCCACAUUGGGACUGAGAUGCGGCCCAGACUCCUACGGGAGGCAGCAGGGGGGAAGAUUGCACAAGGGGCGCAAGCCUGAUGCAGCGACGCCGCGUGGGGGAUGACGGCCUUCGGGUUGGAAACUCAUUUCGCUAGGGACGAAGCUUUUUGUGACGGUACCUAGAGAAGAAGCACCGGCUAACUACGUG